rnacentral:rRNA from 2 species
UACGGAGGGUGCAAGCGUUAUCCGGAAUCAUUGGGUUUAAAGGGUCCGCAGGCGGUCUUAUAAGUCAGUGGUGAAAUCUCUCAGCUUAACUGAGAAACUGCCAUUGAUACUGUAGGACUUGAAUUUGGUCGAAGUGGGCGGAAUAUGACAUGUAGCGGUGAAAUGCAUAGAUAUGUCAUAGAACACCGAUAGCGAAGGCAGCUCACUAGGCCAACAUUGACGCUCAUGGACGAAAGCGUGGGGAGCAAACAGG